AGCACUCAUAUUGCAGCAGCAACUAUGAAAGGUACCCUUUUCUCUUCAAAUCCUCUACAGCAUCCUUAAUAAUCUUCUCCAUUGGAAUGAAUUGCAAACCCAAAUCCAUAAGUUUCUUUGAUCCAUCCUUCACUCUCAAUAAUCCUGGUUGGGUAUCUCGUUGCAUCCUUUCAAGCAAAAUCACAUAGUACAUCAUUUACAAGUAUGUUAUGUGUCAAAGUAUCACUAGAAGAAUUAUAUUAACCUUGUAUUUUGAUUAUGAAGACAAUAUACAAACAAGUCUAAAAGAACUAUUCAGAUUAACUAAUCACUUCUUCCUUGCCUGUUCAAGAACUAAUAGGAAAGCUGCACACUAACUACAACAUGUACUAUCUCUUGCAACAAAAGCCUAGUUCAUAAAUAAGCAUAAGAAACAACAACCUAAAGAUUAAUGGCAUACAAGAUAGAUACAUCAGUAAGAGCAUGACUGAAAAGUAAAAACCAACGUUGCAGUGCACAUGAACCAAAUUGUUGUGUUCAAAUAAGAGUAAGAAGUUUCUUCAAUAACACUCAUUCAAGCAAUAUAUCUAAUUCCUGAAUUACCGACCAAACGAUUAUUGCAUUGCAUUGACUAUACAUCUACUAGUGUGUGGCUAACUUACUUAGGCACAUUGUACUCUGGAUAAAGUUCAGCAACUUUGGCAACAAAAUCACCAUAGUGAGAGAUAGAUUCAACACACACAUGCCUACCAACUGCAGAUUUGUUCUCAUACACCAAAAUAUGCGCCAAUGCUACAUCCUUAAAGUGGACUGUUCCCAUAAAAAAGUUCUCAUAUGUAUCAUCACAACCUGCAACACAAAAUACAAAAUAUCACAAAUUCUCAGUAACUCCCCUAAAAAGUUAUAAAUUGGGUAGUUUGAUAUUAGUAUUCGGGUCAACAAUGAUUGUAGAUGGCAAAAUCUAAUGAAAGGAAUACAACAUAAUCAAACAAGCCUGAUACUUUUCAAGAAGUUAUCAAGUUCUAAAUGUCCUACUCAGCUAUACUAUCAACUACGCAGUAGCUGGUUUUGUAAAAUAAGCCUAAUAACUAUGUCACAGCAACUGUUGCGGCAUUUAUUUGCCAUUUUAAAACCUUGACCCCUAAAAUUCCUUUAUUCUUCUUAGUACAUUGCAAAUCCCUUUUCACACAGUUAAAAACCAAGCAAUCUACUUUUCUCUUGUGACUCAAAGAUACUUCAGUAACAAUGCCACUUCUCCAGUUCACAUUCCCAAUAUUCAGGGACACUCCUACUGCAAAAUUAGAAAGAAAUAUUUGCAAAAUCCAAUUGAUUAACCAGCAGUUUGUACCUUGAAGAAGGCGCACGAACAUGACCAUGCUUCCAUUAAGCCUCGGUGCAAUAACCGGACCCACCACAUUGCCAGGAUUCACUACUACAACAUCCAACCCAGUCUCCUUUGCAAAAUCCCAAGCUGCUUUCUCGGCCAAAGUCUUGGACAAUGGAUACCACAACUGUUGCACACACAAACACUUCACACACACAUAUAAGAAAAAGAAACAGAAACUGAAAAAAAAUGAAAACCCUUUCUAACCCCAUUUUGCUUGCAAAAUUCAACGUCAGUCCAGCAGUUCUCCGUCUUUGGAACAUCACCGGGCCAAUUGGGGCUCGGAGUAAUCGCGGAGACAGAGGACGUGACCACCACGCGACGAACUCCAGCUUCUUUCGCUGCCGUCAGCACGUUCAUGGUGCCCUUUAUCGCAGGGUCCAAAAGCUCCUUCUGCAUUAAGACCCAAAUGGGGUCAUGCAAAAACCCAAAAGAUUGAAAAUUUUCGAGGAGCUCGGGGGAACAAGACCUGGGGGUCCUGGACUUGUUCAACAGUGCAGGGAGAGGCGACAUGGAAUACGCCGGCGCAGCCGCACACGGCGGCGAGGACGGAGUCGUAGUGGAGGAGCUCCAUCUGGAAGAGGCGGAGGCGCUCCGACGCUCCAUCCAAGGCUUCUAGAUGCUUCGUCUCGCCCUCAUCGUCUGUUAGAAAAAGUUGUGUUGUGCUGUGUAAGUAUUGAGAUCAAAUGAAUGAAUAAUGAGAGUGUGGAUUGUAUUAACUGAGAUUUUGGACGGUGGCGUGAACGGUGUAGCCGCGGUCCAGAAGGAGGUGGACGAGCCAUGAACCGAUGGCGCCGCUGCCGCCGGUGACACACACCACCUUCUCCAUUUGGCAACUGUAUUCUAUCAACCUCCAGUUUUGUACUGUUCCAGUGUAAUCUGCUGAGGCAAAAAAUAAUUAUAAUUUGAAGUCAUAUCUGUACAAAAAAAUAUAUAUGAGUGGUGCAUAAUGAAUCUCAACACUCACAAAAAUCUCAUUAAAUUUUAUUAUUAUUAUAUUAUCAUCUUACAUGCACCAUAUCAGCAAAACCACAAAUUGCAUCACAUUUUGCAACAGAUGCAGGAAUUGAACCAGAAAUCAGAUGAUAGCAUAUACAAUGUUGUGAUGAAAAUUGGCAUGCUUAUUAUUAUUCAUUAAGCAAUAAUAUAUUAUAGAAGUAUUUUAAUCACUGGAUAUUGUUCUACUAGAUGUAAGAAACAGGUCAGUGACUUCUGUUGUUGAAAAAGUAGUAUAAUAGUUAUAAUAUAAUGUGAUUAAAAACCAUUUUUAUUGUUUUAAUAUACUGCUAAUACUACUAUAAUUAAUGUUAUAUUAAACGUUCAUAAUAUUAUUGUUACAACGUAAACCCACCCUUUAAUUGCAAUUUGUACUAUAUUAAAAUAUGAUGUCAACAUAUAUGUUAUUAUAUUAUUAAUGUUAUUAUCCUUUGGAUUUUUGUGUAUGUUUUUAUUUGGAUUUUCGUUUAUUCAAAAUUUUCAAGUAAAACAUUUAUUCAUUUGAGUGGAUUUUUUUAAAGGACUCAACUACGACCUGCUUCACGUGACAGAUGUUACACCUUAAGUACAUUACACCUUUAGCUCUCACAGUAUUCAAUUAACGCUUGAUUUAGCUUUCUGCAGUGUCUUUAUUCCUUAUCUUUCCUUUUGUCAUCAUUUUUAAUGUGCUUCUCUUACACUCUACUUCAUAAAGUUUAUAACCUACAACUUGCUUAAGCAACUUUCUUCUUACAUGGUUGUGCUCACACUUUACCUCAUUUGUCCUUCAUCGCAUCAGAAGUUCAGAUUGUUCACUUAUUUUUGUAAGACGUUAUUCAAAUUUUUGUUUCAAACUCUUGCAAUUUAAAUCGAUUGUUUUAUCCAAUGUUUUUUUUUUAUGGUUGUCUGUCCUUUUCAUAUCUUAUUUUCAACAAAAUGGCUUAUGAAGAACUUCUCCAUAUGUUGUUUGUUUUCACUUAUGGUUAUUGUUCUUUGUCUGCAUUCUAAUUUUUAAGUUUAAUUUUUAGUUAUCUUUAUAUUGGCAUUUCGGAUUAAAUGCAUCUUCAAUUAUUUUUGUAUGAUUUUUUUCCAUUGCUUACUUACUCUGUUUUCUAUUAAAAUUAAAACUUAUUACUUCUUUCAUGGUGGAUUUCAAGCUUUUGUGCUAAAGAAAUGACCUUUACAACUACAACAUCAGCUGUUUUCUAAAUACUUUUUGUUCUCGUUGUUUUUUUAAAAAAAUAUAAUACUAUUUAGGCAUGUAUUGUGCUCCGCUAGAUUUUAUUUAUGUGUUGUCUCAUAAAAGUCUUUCAUUUCACAGUAAAAUGUAUAGUGCAACUUAAAGAGAAAACCACUAUUUCGUUAUGUGUUCUUUUUCAUUAUAUUUUUCUCAAUUUUAUUCUAGUUGUUUUGUUUAACCUAUAUAUGCUUAUGUUGUUUUUAUGUUUUUCUUUUUUUUGUCAUAAGAUUUUGUAUUUAUGAACCUCUUAUUCAGAUUGUGUAACAUUUGAAUCUGGUUUGUUGCACACACUAACAUUGGCAGCUAAAACAAAGUUUUAUUGUUAGUUUAUAUUUACGAAUGUAUGUGUUCUUCUAUUUAUUUAUGUCCUUUCUUAUUUGACCUAUGUCUUUGACUAAUUGAUCAACACACCAAAUCUUCGCAACUACAAAAAUCUUUUAGUAUGCAAGAAUACAAUGUUGUUCCUUCUUCUUCACAAGUUUUAACAAAUUUGGUUUGCUUAUUUUGUUUUUAUGUAUUUUUGCUUUUUUUUUUAUAUGAUUAUGUAAUUAUGAACCUCUUAUGUUGUUGGAUGUCCAGAUUGUGUAACAUUUUAAUCUAAUUUGUUGCACACAAUUAGAUUGGCAGCUAAAGCAAAAUUUUAAUGUUAGUUUAUAUUUACGGAUUUCUGUGUUAUUCUAUUUAUUUAUGUCCUGUUUAUUUAACCUCUGGCUUUGAAGGAUUCAUCAACACACCAAAUAUUGGCAACUCCGUCAAGGAGAUACAUCCUAGAUUUUUUUUUUCUUCUUGUUUUCCAUGCUUGUAAUGCCCAACAUGAGUAUCUAAUUCUACCCUUUGAGAUUUGAGAUUUUCUCUUUAGUUGUUCCUCUACUCUAACACAAAGUUGAACUAAAUCAUUUAAAUCAUUAUAAGGAAAAAGUUCAACUUUAUCCUUAAUUUCAUAAUUAAGACCACUUUGGAAUCGAGCCCUAAUCCGUGCCCUUAACAUAAAUAACUCAAUUAUCUGCUUCUAUUGUUCUACAAUCAUGUUUAUAUGCGUUAACUUAUUGAGUUGUUUCAUCAACUCUCUAUCAUAUUAGGAAGGCUCAUACCUCUUCCUAAGAGCUGAUCUAAACUCAUUCCAAUACCUUAUUUAGGGAAAAUUAUGCAACCUAAGAUCUUUUGUAUAGGUGGUCCACCAAGUCAUGGUUGAAUCUUGAAAACUAAGGGUAGCUAAGGUAUCCCUCCUCUCAUGAUUUAUUUGGUGAGCCGAAAAAAAUUUCAACCUUCAUCUCCAAGGUUACGUAAUCUUCUAUAUUUGAUGAAAAAUGAAAAUAAGGAAGGUCAAUCUUAGGCUCUUUAGGCACAUGAUGGGCUCGAUGUCUAUGUUGUCUAGCAUUUUAUUGGUAGUAGUAUGUAUUGUGAUACCUACUAUAAUCAUAUUGGCUUUGGUAAGGGAUUGUAUGAUGAUUGCUUAUAUGUUUGUGAGAUCCCUCUCUUAGGAAAUCACAAAUUUAGAAAUUAUUUCUUUCAAUUCUGAAAAAUUCAUUUGCUUGUUUUGUUACUCUUUCAUAGACAUUAAAAGAAUCUUGAGUGUUUUGAUUACCAUGAACACUAGAUUGAUGUGAAGGAUCACCCAUUGUUGAAUUAAAAUAGAAAAAGUUUUCACAAAAAUUUACAAUUCAAUUGAGUGAUCAAAAUAUUUUUUGAAAAUAUUUUUUUAAUUUUUGGUGAAGUAAAUAGAUCAAGUAUGAGAGUUCUCCAAGUUCACUCCCACGAAAAGUGAGGUGAGUCACAAUGGACUACUUACAUACCAAGAGCUUAUCCCAAAUAAUUCUCAACAUAAGUUCCCUCAAAAUAAUUUUAGAAAUGAGAGUGGGUGUUUGAAUGUCGAAAUGAAACUAAAGAUCAAAGGAAGAUCUACUAAUAAGCAAAAAAAGAUAAAAAUCCUAUGUAUCACAGAUACUUAAAAGCAAGAAAAUAAAGGAAGGAAAUAAAGGAAGGAAAUAAAAGCAUGAAAUUAAAGCAAGAAAUUAAUGCUAGUGAAAAGUAAAUUAGCCGCAUCCUAAAGUUCAAGUGCAAUUGACACUAAGACUCCAGCAGCACACUUACACCACUAAUGCACAUGUAAUCUAAGAAUUUGAAGUAAAAUAAGUACAAAAGAAGAUGGACAACAAUAUAGAUAAAUAGUUAAGUGAAUCUCAAGAGAACAUUACAAAGAACUUACUUGAAAUGGACUUUAUUAAAAAUUUUAAUUUCAAGAAAUAUACUAAGUUAUGUUGGAGAUCCCACAUCGACUAGAGAUAAGGACAUUUCAUAAUAUAUAAAUGGGUGCAGACCUCAAUCUUAUGAGCCGGUUUUAUGGGGUUGAGUUAGCCUUAAAGUCCACUUCGCAAUAAGUUACUUUUAUACAUAUAGCUUAAUGAACAUAUCAAGGCAUAAGUAAGUAUAUUUGAUUAUUGUUAUAUAACAAAUUCAUUUGUAAUUCACAUUCCUAAAAGUAUUUACAAAAGAUUCGAAGUAAAGCAUGUCCUUAUCUCAAGAUGCACUACUUGUAAACAAAUAACCCAUCAUAUUCUACAUAUUCCUUUGACAAACUUGAUUACCCGAACUAGAAGUUGCUCAGUUGGAGAUCUCACAUCGACUAGGGAUUAGAGCCUUUUAUUGUAUAUAAAUGGAUGCAAACCUCAACCCUGUGAGCCGGUUUUAUGGGGUUGAGUUAGGCUUAAAGUCACAUCUCUAUCUUAGUGGAAAGUAUUGAAUAGAGUAUAAAUCAUAUACAUCUGUGUUAAAAUGAGUAUACAUCUAUAUUAAAAUGAGUGAUGUCAUUCAUACAUCUAAAGAAAUCAAUGUACAUUCUCAUUUCAUAAUAAAAAGAUAUGAAUGACAAUUACAACACAAAGACCCUACCUACCACGAGUUGGUCAUACUCUAAUCUACGCCCAUAAACUAUUUCCCGUGAGUUCUAGGCAUGGAGGCUUCUCAAUGUUUCAAGCUAUAAACAAAGACUGAGAAUUGUACACUCAAUCAUACAAUAAUAUAAAUAAAAACACAGGAAAAAUCAAUAUCCUCGCAUACAAUAACAUAAUCAAGAGGACAAAUUAUAAUAUACAUCAAAAAAUUAAUUUGGUGAAUUUAAAGACUCAACCAUACAUUCAAUCAAAUCAAAAUGUAUUUCACAAGUAUUAUUAUAGGAUAUGACAACCCAAACUAACAUCGUUUUCCUCCCUCAUCCAACGUCUACUUUCAUGACUUACUACUUAAAAGUACACCUUCAUUGAGAUUAUUUAAAAAAAAAACUUAAAUUGUUAUAUGAAGGUGCAUGGGGAAAAUAGAGAGUGGAGGAGAAUUUGCCAAACUAAUGCCCUUUUCUCUUUCCUUUUUUGUACGUAUGCAACACUUUAUAUUCUAAUUUUCAUGCACAUUUCAAUUCUUCACAAAUGACCUACAAACAAAUAGUGGUCCAUAUGCAUAAAACAAAAUGUAACUAGGGUUUCCAUUCGCAUGUAAACACCCCACGUUUUUCUUACUGUACCCAUAUAAAUUAUCCUUAUUAAUUUAUAAUAUUAUUAAUAAAUUGAAUUUUGAAAAAAUGAUUUUUCUCAUGAUUUAAAACUAAUUUGUUUAACAAUUUGAUACAUACAUUAUAUUAUAGUUAAUGAAAAUAAUAAUUAAUAACUAAAAUCUUAAUAACUAAUUAGAUACAAUUUAAAAAUUAUUUUAUAAUUUUUAUUAAUAAUAAAAACUAUUUAAAUACUAAUACUCAUUCAAUUAUAUCAAUUUCCUUCCAAAUCCUCCUCAUACAUAUAGUAAAGAAAUUGUUUUUCGUUUUCCAUGUUCUUUACACGUUUUCUAUUAAUUUCUUUGUGGACAAUAAGUUUAAGCAUUCCAUCUUCAUUUUGAAAAAAGAAACAAACAGGUGAGAGCUACUCAUACGCAAGUUCCUUUUUCAUACUAUUAGAGAAGUGUAGAUUAUGUCAUAGAAGAGCGUCUAAAGGUAACAGAGAUACAAAAAUGUGAAGACAACACAGAAACAUGACAGAAAUAGAGAUCCACCCAUGAACUAAAAUUAGGUAGAAAAUGUUUUACAAAGAUGUCUCUCGUCACUUGUUUUAGAACAAUGCAAACAUAACAACAACCACACCAACAAAUAUAACAGAUUAACAACAACAGGAAUUUGCACCAAACAUAUGUGCCAUAAGGACUCAUAUUGCAGCAGCAAUUAUGGAAGGAAUCCUUUUUUCUUCAAAUCCUCUACAGAAUCCUUAAUAAUCUCCUCAAUUGGAGUGAUUUGCAAACCCAAAUCCAUAAGUUUCUUUGAUCCAUCCUUCACUCUCAAUAAUCCUGGUUGGGUAUCUCGUUGCAUCCUUUCAAGCAAAAUCACAAAAUACAUCAUUCGCAACUAAGUUAUGCAUUAACAAUAGAUGUAUGAAGUGUGUGGGUAACUUACUUAGGCACAUUGUACUCUGGAUAAAGUUCACCAACUUUGGCCGCAAAAUCACCAAAGUGAGAGAUAGAUUCAACACACACAUGCCUACCAACUGCAGAUUUGUUCUCAUACACCAAAAUAUGUGCCAAUGUUACAUCCUUCAAGUGGACCGAUCCCAUAUAAAUGUCCUCGUAUGUUUCAUCAGAACCUGCGACGCGACAUACAAAUUUGUCUCAAAUUAUCAGUAAUUCCCCUAAAAAAAUCAUAACUUGGGGAGUUUGAUAUUAGUAUUCGAGUCAACAAUUAUACUGUGCAAAAUCUAAUGAAAAGAGUAUAGCACAAUCAAACAAGUCUAAUACUUUUCACGAAGGCAUCAAGUUCUAAAUAUCCUACACAGCUACACCAUCAACUACACUGUCGCAGGUCUUAGAAAACAUAUAAAAUAAUAAUAAAAUAAAAAUAUGAAUAAUAAAUUAAUAACAUAAUAAUAAUUAAAUAAUUAAAAUAAUAAUAAAUAAUAAACAAUAAUAAUGUUGGAGAUCUCACAUCGACUAAAGAUUAGAGUCUUUCAUUGUAUAUAAGUGGGUGCAAACCUUAAAUUUAUGAACUUGUGAGUCAUUUCAUUGUAUAUAAAUAAAUGAAAACCGAUUUUAUGGAGUUGACUUAGACUUAAAGUUUAUUUUGUAAUAAAUAAUAAAAAUAACUGAUAGUAAAAAUAUUAAAAUUAAAAUUAUAAACUAAUUAUAAUAUUAUAUUUUUUAUUUAAUUAAAUUAGUUUAUAAUAAUAUAAAUUAAUUAAUUAUUAUAUAUAUUAUUUUUAAAUUUUUUAAAAUUUAUUAUAUUUAUCAAAUUAGUAAUAAACUUAAUUCAAAAAACUUCAUUUUACUCAACUCCUCAAAUUCCCAGUAUCAAAUUUACUCUCCAUUUGAAAAAAACCCAACUUGAUACAAUGAGUUUAAAAAUAACUAUCUAAAAUAAAGAAUAAAUUUAUACUUAUAUAAUAUAAAAAAUAUAUAUUAAAAUAAUAAUAUUGAAAAUUGUAUAAAAAUACUGCAUUGUAUGAUUAUAUGAUUAACCCAAAAGAUAAAGCAUUCUCAAGCUUUUUGGGUAGUAGAAGAUUUCUUGAUACCAUAUUAUAAUAAUAUAAUAAUAUUUUAAAUUAAAAAUAAAUUAAAUAUAAUUAAAAUAUUAUUUUAAGGAUUUGUCAAGUGGAUUUUUUUAUUAUUGUAUGACCACCCAUUUUAGAACUUUUCCAGUUCACAUUUCCAAUAUUGAAGGAAACUCCUGCUGCAAAAAUAGAAAGAAAUAUUUGGAAAAUCCAACUGAUUAAGCAUUAGUGUCUCUACCUUGAAGAAGGCGCAAGAGCAUGAGCAUGCUUGCAUUAAGCCUGGGUGAAAUAAUCGGACCCAUCACAGUGCCAGGAUUCACUACAACAACAUCCAACCCACUCUCCUUUGCAAAUUCCCAAGCUGCUUUCUCCGCCAAAGUCUUCGACAAUGGAUACCACAACUGUUGCACACACAAACACUUCACACACCAACACAUAUAAGAAAAAGAAACAGAAAAUGAAAAAAAUGAAACCCUUUCUAACCCCUUUUUGCUUGCAAAAUUCAACGUCAGCCCAGCAGUCCUCCCUCUUUGGAACAUCACCGGGCCAACUGGGGCUCGGAAUAAUCGCCGAGACGGAGGACGUGACCACCACGCGACGCACUCCUGCUUCUUUCGCUGCCGUUAAUACGUUCACGGUACCCUUUAUCGCCGGGUCCAGAAGAUCCUUCUGCAUGAAGACUCAAAUGGGAUGAUGAAAAAACCCAAAAGAUUGAAAAUUUGUGAAGAGAUCGAGGAAACAAGACCUGGGGAUCCGAGACUUGAUCAACAAUGCAGGGAGAGGCGAGGUGGAAAACGCCGGCGCAGCCGCGCAUGGCAGCGAGUACGGAGUCAUAGUGGAGGAGCUCCAUCUGAAAGAGGCGGAGGCGCUCCGACGCUCCAUCCAAGUCUUGUAGAUGCUUUGUCUCGGCCUCAUCGUCUGUUAGAAAAGUUGUGUUGUGCUGUGUAAGUAUAUAUUGGGAUGAAACGAAUGAAUAAUAAAAGUUUGGAAUGUGCUAACUGAGAUUUUGGACGGUGGCGUGAACGGUGUAGCCGCGGUCCAGAAGGAGGUGCACGAGCCAUGAACCGAUGCCGCCGCUGCCGCCGGUGACACACACCACCUUCUCCAUUUUGCAGCUGUAUUCUAAGAUGCACUACUUGAAGAACUCCACUGUACUAAGAUAAUGAUGACACGUGUAAGAGAGGAAGAAACAAAGAAAACGAAAGACAGCCACAGAAAGAACAGAGAAAAAAUGAAAACGACGUUCAGAUAAAAGGCAAAAAAUGACCGAAGCAAACAGUUCCAAACAGCAAAAUAUUAGGUUUUAUUUUUUAGUGACUAAAUUAAUAUUGAAUUAUAAAUUUUUAAAGAAUACUUGUAUAAUGUAAUUGUCAUAUUUCUCUAUUAUGUAGAAUUGUAGUGAAAUGGAGGUUAAAUAAUGGUGCCCAACUUGCUAGCUGAAGGUUUUAAAAGGCAAGGAAAAAAUGAUAGCAAAUUAACCGUCAUGUACAAAAAAAGUGGUGGUCCCACAAUCACAAAAAUAGCAUAUAAAUUAAAUAAAAGAACUGACACGUAGAGUUUAGUGUAAUUUGAUGAUUUAUUUAUAAAUUAUUAUUUAUGGUUAUUUUACUGAUUUUUGUAAUAAGUAUUUGAUAUAGUUUAGGAGAGGAUAUGGUAUGCUUUAAUAAGAGGAUUUGAGCACACUUAAGCUUAAAUGAGUGUAUAUAAGCAACAAAAGAAAGAAAAAUAAAUCUAUACAAUUGUUGGAUCAUUCCAAGACUCAAUCAUAGAGGAACACAAACUCAUAGUAGAUAAUUUUUUCUUUUCAUUAAUUUAAUUUCCAACUCAUUGAGAUAAUUAUAAAAGCGUUUCUAUCCAUAACAUUAUGACAAAAUGUAGAGUACACCUUAUUUUCUUAAUAUAUAUAAUUUGACUUUUAUUAACCAAGUGGGCUUCUUCAAUGCCUAAAUCAUUUUAAUAUUUGGCUCCAUUAUUGUGUACCUGUUUCUCAUUUUCUGGUUCUUAUCUCAGACCAACUAAAGCCCACCACGUAUCGUUUCCCAAUUUUUACUUUAUGCAUAUGGACCCGCUUUUUGUUUGUUGCUAUUUUACUUUAUUCCUUUUCAUUUUAUUUUUAAUUCAAAAUAUUAUUAUAUUAUUAUAAGUGUUUGUUAAGUGUAUCUUAUUUACUGUUUUUUAUUGUUUAUGGUUUUAAAGAAACUUUUCUCUUUUGUCAUACAUUCACAUGGGGAGUGCUCAUUUGUUUGCAUGAAAAUUGAAAUACUAAGAGUUGCAGAUGUACAAGAAAGAAAGAGUAGCUCUAAACAAAGAAUAACUUUAUUUUUUAAAAUAAUUUCAGUAACAUUCUUAUAACUUUCUUUUAUUUACAGUACUUUCAUUCUUAUGUCGUAAAAUUAGAAAAAGUAGUUUUUUAUCAAUCAAUAUCGAACGGGUGAGUCAUUUAGUUUCGGAAAUCGAUCAACUGCGUUAAAAUACAUUUAAUACACUCAAUAAAUGACUAUUGUUACAAUUAUGAAAACUUCCGACAAAUCAAAGUCAUAUUCCAUCGAAUUUGGGUGACACCCCCAAGAAAAUAGCUAAUAUUGAUUUAUUGAAGAUAUUCUCCAAAUAUACAUCUCUAUAAUUCAAGGAAUCCCCUAAAAAGCCACUUAACACUGAUAUUUGAUAAAUGCGGUUCAUCACACAAAAUGACUCAUGACUAAACAUUAUAAAUAAAUAUUUUACAAAAGAGGAAUGUAUGUUUUUUAUCAGUUUCACUAUACACUCUUAACACAAGGUACUCACUUGAUCGUCGAAAAAUCUUUUGCAAGUUAACUCCUAAUCGACUAUUGAGAAAUUGAGGAUAGGGAGUCUUGAAGUUUGAAGGAGUGAAGUACUAAGGAGCAAGGGAGGGACCGACAACCAAAACAAUUGUUACAGUCAAUCCCAUGUACUAUUUAUGCUCACUUUGUCAAUACAAGUACAAGUUCCAUCAUUUCAACGUGUGUAAGAGGCUUGACGAGAAGAUUUGUUGUAUUCGACAUUCCCCAAUGCGAAGAUAAUUUUUUUUUUUUAGUUUUAUACUUCAUUUUUGCACAUCAUUUUUUUAUGAAUUUUGUGGCUUCCAAAAAAAGAAAAAAAAUAAAUGAAUAAAAACACAGUCACCAUGAGCAAUCACCAUCACUUGAAAAUGAAGAAGACACAACACUCUCCAUCAAAUAUUGUUGGAAUUAAAAAAGAGUAUGGAAGUGGAGAAUGAAGGUACGGAGAUGCAAGGAGAAUUUGCCAUCAAUUUUGUGCAUAUGGGAUUACUUUUUGCAUCACAUUUUGGUAUCACCCUUCCUUCAUAGGUGUUUCUUUCUGCACCUCUACAUUUUUCUUCUUGCACCUCUACAUUUUUCUUCUUGCACCCCUACAUUCAUGUGUAAUUACAAAGUAUCUCUAAGACAUCUAAAAAAACCCAAAAGGAGCAUAUCUCACUCUUUCUUUCUUCCUUUUCUACAAUUGUUGUGCACCUUGUUCAAGGAGCGAACAAAGGACAAUAAGUGGUAAUGCAUUGGGAUGUUGUUGGUGGUUCAUUUUCUGAAAUCUUGAUGGUGGUUAGAUGAUUUCUAAGAUGACUCUGUAUUAAGAAAAGAAGAUAAGUAAUAUUAUUUUUUGUUUACACUGUAUUGAGAAAAGAAGAUAAGUAAUAUUAUUUUUUGGUUACAUAUUGGAUGUUUAAUUUUUUAACUAAUUUUGAAUUCCGUAAUGCAACUUUUAGGAUUUCAGAGACAAGUGAGUCCGUAAUAGAGCACAUUGAUCCAAGAAUUAACUAGAUUGGUGUAUUUGUGUGGUUAUUUACACUUUAUAAACAUGGUUGUAAUUCCUAGCUGUAAUGGCAAAUAGAAAACUCUUGUAGCAGCCAAAUGGAUCCAGACUUUUUUUGUAAAAAACGUGGUGCCCCACUUGCAGCAAACAGAAAAUAACGAGUAAAUAAAAAAAUAGGGUUUGCAGGAAAUAUAGAAAACAAUGAGGAAAGAAAAGAAUGGCAUGUGAAGGCACUGUAAGGAAGGGUGAUGCCACAUCGUGAUCAGAAUGAGUGGUUGUGAUGGAUGAAUGAAUAAUUAAGAUUCCUUCACAUUCUAAACAGUAUCUCACUUUCAUUCUCUAACCAUUUAUAGUAAUAUCCCCACGUAUUCUUUCUUCUUUUAUAACAAAAACAAAAACAACCACCCCUUUUCUCUUUUCUUUUUUAAUUUACUACUUUUAAUAUUAUUAUUUUAAUAUUUUUUUAUAUCAUUUAAUUAUAAAUCAUUCUUUUAUUCUGCUCUCCAUGUGAAUGUUUGAAGAGUAAAUCAUCUAGGUGUCAAAAAGAACAUUGACAUAUUGGUUUAUAAUUAAAAAUUCUUGAUUCUACAUAUUUUUAACUUUGAGUAGGAAGUUGAUGUUAUAUUAUUAUGUUUAUAUUUAUUAGUUCAAAUUUAAUUGAAUUGAAUAACUGAUUUUUUUCUUUAAUUUAUAAUAGAAUUAAACAAUUAUUAAAAUAAUUCAUAUUUAUUAAAACUAACCACACCAACAAAAGUUUAACGAUACAUAUGAUAGUGCCUCAUUUUAGAACUAAGAGGAAUUUGCAGCAAACAUGUGGCUUUUAGGACUCGUAUUGCAGCAGCAAUUAUGCAAGGAAUCCUUUUUUCUUCAAAUCUUCUACAGCAUCCUUAAUAAUCUCUUCAAUUGGAGUGAAUUGCAAACCCAAAUCCAUAAGUUUCGUUGAUGCAUCCUUCACUCUCAGUAAUCCUGGUUGGGUAUCUCGUUGCAUCCUUUCAAGCAAAAUCACAAACUACAUCAUUUACAAGUACGUUAUGCAUUAACAAUACAUGUAUGAAGUGUGUGGGUAACUUACUUAGGCACAUUGUACUCUGGAUAAAGUUCACCAACUUGGGCUGCAAAAUCACCAAAGUGAGAGAUAGCUUCAGCACACAGAUGCCUACCAACUGCAGAUUUGUUCUCAUACACCAAGAUAUGUGCCAAUGCUACAUCCUUAAAGUGGACCGAUCCCAUAAAAAUGUUCUCAUAUGUUUCAUCAGAACCUGCCACGCCACAUACAAAAGGUCACAAAUUCUCAGUAAUUCCCCUAAAACAUCAUAAAUUGGGUAGUUUCAUGUUAAUAUUCCGGUCAACGAUUAUAGAUUAUAUGGUAAAAAAUUUAAUAAAAAAAAAGUGUAGUGAUUUUCACGAAUUAUAAAUGUCCUACGCAUCUAUACCAUCGACCAAGUUGUAGCAGGUCUUGUGAAAUUAGUCUAAUAGUUAGGUAACAACAACAGUAGCCCUAUUCACAUUAUACCAUUUUAAUCAGUUAAAAAUGUAUGCAUCAUUCAUCACAAGAUCCCUAACAUGGUGUUAAAUAGUGGUAUGCGACUAUGACUUUAGUGGUUCCGUCCACAGAUUUGGACGGAUGAAUACAAACAGAAAGCAUGAAAAUCAAAAGUAAAAAAUUGUUAGAUUCUUUCCUCGCAUAGCUGUGAGGAGUAGCAAAGAAAGUUGAAUAAACAUUAUAAUCAUAUAUUUACAAUAAAAUAUAUAUUCUAUAACGGAUCAUUACAUAGUCUGAUGACAUAUAUUUAUCAAAUAAUCCAUUUUUUUAAUAAUAUAAUUGAUUAUGGAAUAUACAUGUUAUUAUAUUUUUAUAUAAUUAUUAUAUUAUAUAUAUACACUAAAAAAAAUAUAAAUAUAGUAAAAAAAAUAAUUAGUUGUUAUAAUAACUAAAUUAGAAAUUAUUUUAAAAACUAAAAAAAAUAAUUUUUAAAUUAGUUUAUAUUAUUAUUAAAUAGUUUUGUAAUUUGUAUUUAAUUAGCUACCAAGGUUUUAACUCCCAAUUAUUUAAUUUCUAAAUUUGGUCGUAAAAAUUUUGGUUGCUAAUUAAAUACUAAUUUAAAAAUUAUUUAAUGAUAAUACAAACUAAUUUAGAAACUAAAGUUUUUUUUUCUCUAAAAUGAUUUAUAAUUUAGUUACUAUAUCAACUAAAUAUUUUUUAUUCUCUAAACAUAGUUUUCUAUUUGAUGUUUUUUUUUAGUGAUAUUAUUAAUUGAUUAAUAUUUGUAUUUUUAUUCUAAACAUAAUUAAUUAUACAAUAUAAUACAAUGUAAUAAUAAUAAGUAGUCAAACAAUAAAGAAAUAUAAAAUAAUAAUAAUAAAAUAGUCUCUACCUUGAAGAAGGUGCAAAAGCAUGAGCAUGCUUGCAUUAAGCCUCGGUGCAAUAACCGGACCCAACACCAUCCCAGGAUUCACUACAACAACAUCCCACUCACUCUCCUUUGCCAAAUCCCACGCUGCUUUCUCGGCCAAUGUCUUCGACAAUGGAUACCACAACUGUUGCACACACAAACACUUCACACCCCAACACAUAACAAAAACAAACACAAAAUUCAAAAAAUGAAAACCCUUUCUAACCGCUUUUUCCUUGCAAAAUUCAACGUCAGUCCAGCACUCCUCCUUCUUUGGAACAUCACCGGGCCAAUUGGGGCUCGGAACAAUCGCGGUGAUGGAGGACGUCACCACCACGCGACGCACUCCAGCUUCUUUCGCUGCCGUUAGCACGUUCACGGUGCCCUUUACCGCCGGGUCCAGAAGAUCCUUCUGCAUGAAGACCCAAAUGGGAUGAUGCAAAAACCCUAAAGAUUGAAAAUUUGCAAGAAGAUCGAGAGAACAAAACCUGGGGGUCCUGGACUUCAUCAACAAUGCAGGGAGAGGCGAUGUGGAAUACGCCGGCGCAGCCGCGCAUGGCUUCGAGUACGGAGUCGUAGUGGAGGAGCUCCAUCUGGAAGAGGCGGAGGCGCUCCGACGCUCCAUCCAAGGCUUUUAGAUGCUUUGUCUCGGCCUCAUCGUCUGUUAGAAAAGUUGUGUUGUGCUGUGUAAGUAUAUAUUGGGAUGAAACGAAUGAAUAAUGAGAGUGUGGAAUGUACUAACUGAGAUUUCGGACGGUGGCGUGAACGGUGUAGCCGCGGUCCAGAAGGAGGUGGACGAGCCAGGAAGCGAUGGCGCCGCUGCCGCCGGUGACACACACCACCUUCUCCAUUUUGCAACUUAAUUCUAACACGAAAACGAUCACUAGAGACUUGAGAAGUCCACUUUGAAAUCAAGAGAAGAAGAAAGAAACAAGUGUAAUGAUGUGACGAACAUACACAUUUUUAUAGAAUAAUAUCACUUCAAUACUAUUAUUUUAAACAUCUAUACAUCCGUAUUUUAUUAUUUUAUUCAAUUUUUAUGUUAAAUUUCAUAAAAAAUUAACAUUAAAUAUAUAAAAAAUAUUACUUAAAAAAUAUUUAUUUUCUUUUUCAAUUUGAGUUUUUUUUUUUUUGAAGUUUUUACUCUUCUUCCAUUGAUAGUUUUGGAAUGAGAGAGUAUAAUGAUGAUAAUGAUUUUAUAAAAAAAUAUAAUUGUUUCUAAUGAGGAAUUGAAAAUAAAUGUUAUUUUAUUUGUUAAAUUUUAUGUAAAAACUUGAUCGUAUGUUUUAUUUUUUUCUUUUGUCUUAAAAUUAAGAAAAGAGUAGGAGAUGUGCAUAUGCAAUAAUAUUAAAAUAAAAAAUAGUUUUAAUUUUUAAUUAAUUUAUAUAAAAUAAUAAAAUAUUUAAUUAUAUUAAUAAAAUGAGAUAUAUUAAAUAAAGAUAAAAUAAAUUAUACACUAAAAAUCGAUUAUAAUAAAAAAAUUAUAUAUAGAUAUAAAUAUUUUUUUAUAUUAUUUAAUUUCAAAGUUAGUCUUUAUUAUAUAUAUUUAAUUGUCAAACUGUAUUAAAAAAAAAAGACAGGGACAGUAGAAUUAAUUUGACAGAAAACGAAAGACAUGGAAAAUUUGACAACAAAAAUAUCGAAAUCAGCAAUGCAGAAUUAAUUAUAGGAAAGUUGGUGAGUACGAAAACCAAUCCAAUUUUUUAAAGGAUCCGGAUUUUUGACAACGUACGCAUCGUAUAACUCUGAAAAAAUCUUAAUAUUUUAAUAGUGUGUGAUCUUCUGUCAUAUUGGAAUCUUUUUCUUAUCUUUUUUGUAGUUUUCAUAUUUUGAGGUUUCUUUCUUUUUUUUAAGCUUCACUAUGUAUUUGCAAAUUUUUCUUUGUGCACUGAAACAUUUAUUUUUUCUUCUGUAUUGUUUUUAUUUGAUCUCGGUUUUAUUUAUUGUUAUCGUUAUUCAUAAUAAUAUUAUUUUUAUUAAUACUAUUAUUAAAAUUAAUAAUAAUACUAAUACUAAUAUUAAUAAUAAUUUAAAUAAUAAAAAUAAUUUUAAUAUUACUACUAAUUAUAAUAAUAUUAUUAUUAUUAGUAAUAAUAUUAGUAUUAGUAGUAAUUAUAAUAAUAAUAAUUAUUAUUAUUAUAAUAAUAUUUUUUAACUAGUGUUAUUUAUUUAUCUUUAUAUUCUUACAAUUCCGAUUUAAUUUAGUCAAAUAUAUUCUUAAAGAAAAAAAAUAUUUAUUGUCAAACAUAAUUUUGAAUUGGAUUUUUUGACAUCAUUGUUAUAAUUUUAUUCAAAAUGAUUUUUUUUAUGUUUAAAUUUCAUAUUGUGAUUAAAUUUAGUAUGAAAGAUUUUAUUUAUUGAAGUACUGAGCAAUUGGACUCGAGUAUGAUUGAGGUUAAUCCGUUGGUCAUUUAAAAAAAUGGUUUAGGAAGUGGUGACCUAGUCUAACGGUUAGAGAGGAUGAUGAAUAAGGUGAAUUGAGUUUGUUUAUAACACAUUAAAUUUAUUAUUCACAUGAAAUUUAUUUUUCACAUGAAAAAUGAAAUCUAUUACUUUAAACAUGAUUGUUAAUAUGGAUAACAAAGACCUACUAACUAAUAAAAUUGUCUUAAAUCAUAAAUUAAAAUUAUUCUACACAACUACAAGUUGGAUUGAUUCGUUAUAAUAAUUGUACACGGAUAACAGUAACAUUAGAGAAAUUCAGCUUGUACGAGACUGUUUUCUCAAUGCCUUGUUUGAGAUUUUAUAUUUUGUUUGACUGUGUGGCUUUGUCGGUAUGGUAGACGUUCCUUGGUAGAAAGAGGAUAAAGUACAAAUUUGUAUAAGGGUUAGACCACUAUGUAGUGGUUCAUAUUUAUUAUUUUUUAUUGAUAAUAAAAAAACAAUUUUAUUAUCAUUUUAUUUUAUUUAUUUUGAUGGAUGUAUUACAAUAGUAUAAUAAAUUAUUAUAGAAUCAUAAUUUUGUAUUAGUUUUUUUUUACGUUCAAGUUAUAUUUAGUAUGUAUUUUUUUAAAAUAAAAUCAUAUUUAUAGAUUUUUGAACUUAUUGAAAUAUCGAAUAAAAUUAUUUGAAAAAUCUAUUAUUGAAUAUUAUAGAUCAUUCCAAGACUCAAUCAUAGAGGAACACAAACUCAUAGUACCAAAGGAUAACUUUUUUUUCAUUAAUUUAAUUUCCAACUCAUUGAGAUAAUUAUAAAAGCAUUUCUAUCCAUAACAUUAUGACAAAAUGUAAAGUACACUUUAUUUUCUUAAUAUAUAUAAUUUGACUUUGAUUAACCAAGUGGGCUUGCUGAUAAAAAAAAAACCAAGUGGGCUUCUUCAAUACCUGCAUCAUUUUAAUAUUUGGUAACAUUGUUUAUGGUUUCCCAAUUUUUACUUUAUGCAUAUGGACCCACUUUUUGUUUGUUGCUAUUUUACUUUAUUCAUUUUCAUUUUAUUUUUAAUUCAAAAUAUUAUUAUAUUAUUAUAAGUGUAUCUUAUUUACUGUUGUUUAUUGUUUAUGGUUUUAAAGUAACUUUUCUCUUUUGUCAUACAUUCACAUGGGGAGCGCUUAUUUGUUUGCAUGAAAAUUGGAAAUAAGGAGUUGAAGACGUACAAGAAAGAAAGAGUAACUCUAAAUAAAAGAAUAACUUCACUUUUUAAAAUAAUUAGUACGUUGAACCGUGGAACGCACGGGAAUUUUUUCAAUAUUUUAUAUGUAAAUAUUAAUAUUAAAAUUAAUAAUUUAAUUUAUUUAUAUAUAAUUUCAGUUAUACUUCCGUAUUUUUAUAUCUUUCUUAUAUAUUUUUAGUUGUAAUAUUUGAAAAAGUAGUUUUUGGAUCGAUCAAUACCAAAUGAGUGAGUUAUUUCACUUUGAAAAUUUAUCAACCACAUUAAAAUACAUUUAAGACACUCAAUAAAUGAGUUGCAACAAUUAUGAAAACUACCUACAAAUCAAAGUCAUAUCCCAUCUCGGUGAUACUCCGGGAAAAUAAUUAAUAUUAAUUUAUUGAAUAUAUUAUCUAAAUAUACAUAUCUAUAAAUCAGGGAAUCUCCUUAAAAAAUCACUUAACACUGAUAUUUGAUAAAUUCGACCCAUAACAAGAAAUGACUCAUGAGUAAACCCUUUACAAAGAAGGAAGAUACGCUUUUGAUCAAUUUCACUAUACACUCUUAACACAAGGUACUUACUUGAUCGUUGAAAAACCUUUUGCAAGUUAACUCCUAAUCGACUAUUGAGAAAUUGAGGAGAAGGAGUCUUGAAGUUUAAAUGAGUGAAGUACUGAGGAGCAAGGGAGGGACCGACAACCAAAACAAUUGUUACAGUCAAUCUCAUGUUAUAUCUAGUCUCACUUUGUCUAUACAAGUACAAGUACCAUAAUUUCAUCGUGUGUAAGAGGCUUGACGAGAAGAUUUGUUGUAUUUGACAUUCUCUAGUGGAAAGACAAUUUUUUUAGUUUUGUACUUCAUUUUUACACAUUGUUUUUUUGUGGUUUCCAAAAAAAAAAAAAACAAAACAAAAACAGAGUCACCACCGAACAAUCAUCAUCACUUGAAAAUGAAGAAGAUACAACACUCUCCAUCAAGUAUUGUUGGAAUUAAAAAAGAGUAUGUAAGUGGAGGAUGAAGAUAUGGAGGUGCAAAGAGAAUUCGCCAUCAAUUUUGUGCAUAUGGGACUACUUUUUUCAUCACAUUUUGGUAUCACCCUUCCUUCAUGGGUGUUUCUUUCUGCACCUUUAUAUUUUUCUUCCUGCACCCCAACAUUCAUGUGCAAUUACAAAAGUAUCUCUAAGACAUCUAAAAAACCCAAAAGGAGCAUAUCUCACUCUUUCUUUCUUCCUUUUCUACAAUUGUUGUAAAAAACGUGGUGGCCCACUUGCAGCAAACAGCAAAUAAUGGGCAAAGAAAACACGAUGACCCCACUUGCAGCAAACAGAAAAUAAUGAGUAAAUAAAAAAAUAGGGUUUGCAGGAAAUAUAGAAAAGAAUGAGGAAAGAAAAGAAUGGCAUGUGAAGGCAUUGUAAGGAAGGGUGAUGCCACAACGUUAUGAGAAUGAGUGGUUGUGAUGGAUGAAUGAAUAAUUAAGAUUCUUUCACAUUCUAAACAGUAUCUCACUUUCAUUCUCUAACCAUUUAUAGUAACAUCCCCACUUAUUCUUUCUUCUUUUAUAACAAAAAACAUAAACAACCACCCCUUUUUUCUUUCCUUUCUUUUAUUUACUACUUUUUUUAUAUCAUUUAAUUAUAAAUCUUUCUUUUGUUCUGAUCCCCAUGUGAAUGUCUGAAGAGGAAAUCAUUUAGGUGUCAAUAAGAACAUUGACAUAUUGGUUUAUAAUUAAAAAUUCUUGAUUUUGCAGACUUUAACUUUGAGUAGAAAGUUGAUAUUAUAUUAUUAUGUUUAUCUAUUUAUUAACUCAAAUUUAUUGAAUUGAAGAACUGAUUUUCUGCUUUGAUUUGUAAUAGAAUUAAACAAUUUUUAAAAUAAUUCAUAUUUAUUUAUUCCUUCAUACUAAUAAUAAAACUAACCACACCAACAAAAGUUUAACAACACAUAUGAUCGUGCCUUAUUUUACAACAACAGGAAUUUGCACCAAACAUAUGUGCCAUAAGGACUCAUAUUGCAGCAGCAAUUAUGGAAGGAAUCCUUUUUUCUUCAAAUCCUCUACAGAAUCCUUAAUAAUCUCCUCAAUUGGAGUGAUUUGCAAACCCAAAUCCAUAAGUUUCUUUGAUCCAUCCUUCACUCUCAAUAAUCCUGGUUGGGUAUCUCGUUGCAUCCUUUCAAGCAAAA
rnacentral:lncRNA from 1 species